rnacentral:rRNA from 1 species
UACGUAGGGUGCGAGCGUUGUCCGGAAUUAUUGGGCGUAAAGAGCUUGUAGGCGGUUUGUCGCGUCUGCUGUGAAAAUCCGGGGCUCAACCCCGGACUUGCAGUGGGUACGGGCAGACUAGAGUGUGGUAGGGGAGACUGGAAUUCCUGGUGUAGCGGUGAAAUGCGCAGAUAUCAGGAGGAACACCGAUGGCGAAGGCAGGUCUCUGGGCCACUACUGACGCUGAGAAGCGAAAGCAUGGGGAGCGAACAGGA